rnacentral:rRNA from 1 species
AACAGAGGUCCCGAGCGUUGUUCGGAUUCAUUGGGCGUAAAGGGUGCGUAGGCGGCUGGGUAAGUUUGAUGUGAAAUCCUGGGCUCAACCCUGGAACUGCAUUGAAUACUGCUCGGCUAGAGUACUGGAGAGGAAACUGGAAUUCACGGUGUAGCAGUGAAAUGCGUAGAUAUCGUGAGGAAGACCAGUGGCGAAGGCCGGCUUCCCUUGGUCUGCAACUGACGCUGGUGGCGCGAAAGCUAGGGGGGAGCAAACAGGG